GAUCAACGCUGGCGGCGUGCCUAAUGCAUGCAAGUCGAACGCGGUCUCCGCGAGGAGGCUGGCGUGGCGGACGGGUGAGGAACACGUGGGCAACCUGCCCCGGGGCGGGGGGUAGCCCCCGGAAACGGGGGGUAAUUCCGCAUGUGCGCGGCCCUCGUCUGGGGGGGUCGCGGAAAGGCGUCAGCCACCCCGGGAGGGGCCUGCGGCCGAUUAGCUGGUUGGCGGGGUCACGGCCCACCAAGGCGACGAUCGGUAGCUGGUCUGAGAGGACGGCCAG
rnacentral:rRNA from 1 species